ACUCAUGGCUCAAUGGUUGAGCAUCGGCAUGUCAUGCUGAAAGAUCAGGGUCCGAUCCCUGAAUGAAUA
rnacentral:tRNA from 1 species